GUUUUAAUAGUUUAAAUAAAACAUUGGUUUUGUAUACCAAAAAUAAUAAAGUUUUAAAACU
rnacentral:tRNA from 1 species